AGGUAAGCUACUAAGAGCGAAUGGUGGAUGCCUUGACUGGUAAAGGCGAUGAAGGACGUACUAGACUGCGAUAAGCUACGGGGAGCUGUCAAGAAGCUUUGAUCCGUAGAUUUCCGAAUGGGGCAACCCAAUGUAUAGAGAUAUGCAUUACCUAUAUAGGAGCGAACGAGGGGAAUUGAAACAUCUUAGUACCCUCAGGAAAAGAAAUCAAUAGAGAUUGCGUCAGUAGCGGCGAGCGAAAGCGCAAGAGGGCAAACCCAGUGCUUGCACUGGGGGUUGUAGGACUGCAAUGUGCAAGAGCUGAGUUUAGCAGAACAUUCUGGAAAGUAUAGCCAUAGAGGGUGAUAGUCCCGUAUGCGAAAAACAAAGCUUAGCUAGCAGUAUCCUGAGUAGGGCGGGACACGAGGAAUCCUGUCUGAAUCCGGGUCGACCACGAUCCAACCCUAAAUACUAAUACCAGAUCGAUAGUGCACAAGUACCGUGAGGGAAAGGUGAAAAGAACUGAGGUGAUCAGAGUGAAAUAGAACCUGAAACCAUUUGCUUACAAUCAUUCAGAGCACUAUGUAGCAAUACAGUGUGAUGGACUGCCUUUUGCAUAAUGAGCCUGCGAGUUGUGGUGUCUGGCAAGGUUAAGCAAACGCGAAGCCGUAGCGAAAGCGAGUCUGAAUAGGGCGCUUAGUCAGAUGCUGCAGACCCGAAACGAAGUGAUCUAUCCAUGAGCAAGUUGAAGCUAGUGUAAGAACUAGUGGAGGACUGAACCCAUAGGCGUUGAAAAGCCCCGGGAUGACUUGUGGAUAGGGGUGAAAGGCCAAUCAAACUUCGUGAUAGCUGGUUCUCUCCGAAAUAUAUUUAGGUAUAGCGUUGUGUCGUAAUAUAAGGGGGUAGAGCACUGAAUGGGCUAGGGCAUACACCAAUGUACCAAACCCUAUCAAACUCCGAAUACCUUAUAUGUAAUCACAGCAGUC
rnacentral:rRNA from 1 species